rnacentral:rRNA from 1 species
UUUAAAUGUAAAUUUAAAUUCCAAAGUAGUAUUAGUUAUGUUCUUGAAAUUUAAAAAAUUUGGCGGUAUUUUAGUCUAUUCAGAGGAACCUGUUCUAUAAUCGAUAGUCCACGAUUUACUUUACUUAAUUUAAAUAAUUUGUAUAUCGUCGUUUAUUAAUGAUUUUAUAAGAAUAAAAAUUUUUAUAAUUUUUAAAAAAUAAAAAUGUCAGAUCAAGGUGCAGUUUAUAAUUAAGAAGAAAUGGGUUACAAUAAAUAUAUUUAAAUGGAUUGAUGUAUUUAAAGUUAUUAUGAAGGUGGAUUUGAUAGUAAUAAAGUUAAAUUAAAUUUUAUGAUUUUAGCUCUAAAAUAUGU